GACCGCUCAUUUCUGGGCUACUGCGGCAGUUCCCAGGCAAGUUCUCCUCUCUCCACAGGUUGCCGGUACCGAGUCCGUGCCGCUUCCAGCGCCCCUCCCGACCUGGAGCGGAGCCCGCCCGUGCCCGGCUCCCCUCAGGAGUGAGCUGCAAGCCCAAUUCCCUUCAGGUGUGCCCUUCUCCCCUCAUUACCGAGCCGCAAGCCCGAUUCCCCUCAGGUGUGCCCGGCUCCCCGCGAGCACAGGAGCAGCCCAGUGUGUGGGUGCGGGACCUGCGCGUUUUCCACGCGUAAAAAACAUGGAAAACCACACGGUUCGGCAGCAAUCCGGGUAUCCCCGCUAUGUGGCGAGCCGGAGGGUGUGGGAAGAGGGAGCCCUGCUCUGCCAUGGUGCUGGGAAGCAGCAAUCCAGAGCCGCCAAGAAACACGAAAUCGAACUAAACGUAGAAAAAUAACUUGCGGAAACUUGUUUGCUUGGGGAGCAACUCUGCUGCUCUGUUCGGGAUGUCGCCUCUCCCAGUAAACAGGCUUCUCAAAGACAAAUAACGUGAAGAAAAGGCCAGACAUGCUCCGAAAAGGCAAAUGCAAUGUAUUUUCAUCCUCCUGGGGGUAAUUAGUUUUAUACAGCAUUUGCUAUUCAAAUCCAAAUCCCUGGAAUGCCGCAUCGUUACCAGCCCGUUCCAGCCCUACUGCCGGAUCCAGUCUCCUUACAAAGGACACAAUAAAAGCUAUAAAUAUACAUUCCUCCUUCCUUAAUCAUAUGGAGUGUACCCUGAUAUUUUUUCCAUUUCAGCUUGUUACCAACUAAAUUAUAUUUUUACAACGCACACAGUGUCCUUGCUCAUUUUAUUAUUGACUAAUUGAAUCGUCUCUUCAGGACAUAAAUUACGUGGGACCAGGGCUGGAGGUAACCGGGAGAGAACCAACCCCUGGGGCAGGUGAAACAGGGUACGUCCCCUGCAAAACGUGUUGCAAAACAUUUUAAAACGACUUUUAAAUGAUUUGUUCCAAAAAACCACAGGCUUUUUCGCUGGCUGUGAGACUCCUGUUGAGGAAAGUUCCCCUUGAUAACCUCGGUGUGUGUGGCAGGGGUGUCCCUCUUGUUGUAGGCAGCUCUAUAUUCCCGUGAAAUUCUUCUUGAUCCAGCGGGAUUUGCAGAUUUGUUUAUGGGGAGGGUUUUCGGCGAGGCAGGCGCUGGCAGGGUGCGCAGUGCCCCCAGCGCAGGUGUGGGGUUUGCCGUGCAGGGAUGCGCACAGCAAAUUAAACCCUGACGUGACUGCAAAGCACCGGCUAAUACAGGUGUCUGAGGCGUCCCUCCUUGUGCAGCUUGCUUCAUUAGUUUAUGUUUCUGUCAGGAAACAGGGGGUUUGGCCACUAAAAAUAUCCCGGGGCAUUUUCACAAUGGAAUAAUUACCUCCUCAGAAGGAUGUUUGGGUUUCUCCAGCUUACCCUUGGCGAGUUACGCUGCUAUCUGAUAUGCCACAAGGAUUACCAGCAACCAGCUGCAAUUUAUCCUGAAAAUGGAAGCGGUGAUUAAAAGGCAGGACUGGUAGUGUAACUCCUAUUAAAGCUGGUUAGCAAUUCCCAUCAUAAAAUCCUGCCCUCAGUCGCAUUUAAUAGGGCCAGACUAACCACUGUGCUGAAAUUUAAGCAUCUGAAGUUCAUACCUUGGGUUAAAUUAUAAACAUUUCUUCUGUUCCUUCUGUCAGGGAUUUUCUGAAAAUGAGAGUGGUCACUUUGUCAGAGGUGUUCCCUCAAACCUUGCUAUGACAACCCUCCUGAAAGUCCUGCUGGUUCUCGGCAGGGGCUUCCUGGCACUUCCACUCCCCAGCAGCUCCGUCCUCACCGCAGCCCAGGGCUGUGGGGUCAGAGCUGGACCUGCAGCUCCAGUUCCUUCCUGCUCUGGACCCUGCCAUGUCUGCAGGUAGGAAGGGCAAACCUGUCCUUCCAGUCCUCUUGGGAAACACAGGGCAGGAAGCUCCAUCAAAAACACGCAGUGGGGACGGGAACUGGGAACCUGGGACAGAUUCUACAUCAAAUUCCAGGCAAAUGCAGCAGUGCCUGGGGUGUGGUGCCUCCAGAAGGCUCCUGAAGAAGGACCAGCUGUGUUCCUGCUGUAGGAGGGGAGCAGUGGGAGCUCAGACACGAGGGCAGGUACCUUGCUGUGAGCAGUUUCCACACCAGCAAGAGGAAGAACUUGGUCUUGUUCCUGGCUACAGGUGGCUCUGACACAUGAAAGGUUUCACUGAUUCUCAGUCAAGGCAGGUGAAUGAUGCCUGUCCCGUUAGAAGUGACCAAGGUAAGAUGUCUUGCACUUCCCCUAAAAUUGAAGAGGUUUAGAAGAGAUAUUGGGAAGAAAUUCUUCUCUGUGUGUGGUGCUGAGGUUACCCAGAGCAGCUGUGGCUGCCCAU